rnacentral:rRNA from 1 species
UGCGUAGGCGGAUGUUUAAGUGGGAUGUGAAAUCCCCGGGCUUAACCUGGGGGCUGCAUUCCAAACUGGAUAUCUAGAGUGCAGGAGAGGAAAGCGGAAUUCCUAGUGUAGCGGUGAAAUGCGUAGAGAUUAGGAAGAACACCAGUGGCGAAGGCGGCUUUCUGGACUGUAACUGACGCUGAGGCACGAAAGCGUGGGUAGCAAACA